rnacentral:rRNA from 1 species
UACAGAGGAUGCAAGCGUUAUCCGGAAUGAUUGGGCGUAAAGCGUCUGUAGGUGGCUUUUUAAGUCCGCCGUCAAAUCCCAGGGCUCAACUCUGGACAGGCGGUGGAAACUACCAAGCUGGAGUACGGUAGGGGCAGAGGGAAUUUCCGGUGGAGCGGUGAAAUGCGUAGAGAUCGGGAAGAACGCCAAGGGCGACGGCACUCUGCUAGGCCUGAUUUCGCGACUGACACUCAGGGACGAGAGCCAGGGGAGCGAAUGGG